CUACCAGCAGCCAGAGAGGAAGGAGUUCUGUCUGAGCAGAGCUACGAGGAGAGGCCUGACUGCAGACUGAUUAAAUAUGGCAACCCUGACCUGACAGUGAGCCUGUUCAGUUAUUUGAGGACUGAUUUCAAGCAGCUGUGCAGGACUCCUUUUAAGUGUUAGACAAAUCUCCUCCAGUCUAACAUCAAAAACAUACUGACAGAAAUAAGACUGCAAUCUUCUCUCUAGCAAUACCACCCACUGAUCCAUGAAUAAGUGUUCCAGCUUCAAGGCACAUCACUGCUGUAAAGCUACCCCUUUGAGUUUCAAAGAACUGCUCCUCGUCUUGUGUCCUGAGAUCUAGAAACCUGCUGUAGUUAGUGGGCGAGUCAAAAACUGAAAUCUGAGUUUACAGCAUGCAGUAGAAAAUACCUUUUUUAAAAAGAAUAAUCCACCACGUUUUGUAAGAUAACAGCAAAGAACAGCAUUUUAGAGGAAACAGGAUUCAGCAAUUCACAUUCUCACAGCUUGCAGGGGGAACCAUCCACACCAUCAAACCACACCAAAAUGACAUCAGGGGGAAAACUGGACUGUUCCACUGCAGGCCCCUUAAAGAUGCUACCUGUAGAGGGCAAAGAAGCCAAAUUAAACCAGCCAGAAGAAAUAAGAACAAGAGAGGACAGAUGGAAAUUCCCAUAAAAUCUAUUCUGUGAGUAGAGGACCACUAUCUGCAAUAAUUGUCAGAUAUUCUUAGGAUUUGCUGGAAGACCAAGAGCCACUGUUUUUAGUCUCUUACAGUGGCUGAAGAGGUGUGUUGCCUACCCAAGAGGAUGUUUUAUCUGAGGAUUCAGCAUGCUGCUGACAAGGAGAAGUUUGCCUUUGGCAGAAGCCAAAACUAGAAGGCUUCUAACUGGAUUUUAUAUCCUAUGAUUACUUUUACUAAAGAGUGAUGGUAGGCAACCAGUUUUUCAUUUUGCUGUGAUUCUCUAUAUUGUAUUGCCUAAUUUACUUGAUUUACCAUACAGGGUGUAAUGUGUUGAUCCUUUCUGAAUUUUUUUUUCUUUUCUUUUUCCAUCUAUUUGACCUCUGCACUUUUAUUUCUAAAAAAAAGUAUUAACAUUCUAAACCAGUGCAUUCUUCAAAGUAAAUUAGAAAGAUCUGAUGGUACCUUUCCAAAGAACUGGCUGUUGAAACACAGUGCUCCAGGAGUCUCUCCCUCUCAUAUUUGAUGUUCCCCUCCCCCUCAGAAGAGUUUUAGGCAGAUGUGAUUUUUAACAAAAAAAGAUAAUGUUAAAGAAGUCUGCAUGGAUGUCAAUCAAACAAUGAUACUUAGCACAGUGCUAGCAUUUAUGUUAUGUAAAUGUAGGAGAAUCACCGUUUGAGACAAGCUUCUACAAAGCAGGUAGUGAUUUAAUGAAAAGCAAAAAGAUUGAAAGGGGUUUGCCAGAGUCUUAUGUGAUAUGAAUGUUAACAAGUCAGCUCACGUCACCAUCAUCGUCCCUGCUCUUCAUUCUAGUCUCUCUCCCUUUCUCAAGCCAGCUUGAAACCAGGGAAUUACAAACUAAGGAAAACCCUUCAGCUAAAUGUAUAAUUAGUCUAAACAGAAUCAAUGCAGCCCAAUUAAUCAGUUUUACUAACUGGAUUAACAUUUUAUGUCUGAAUUUCUGAUAAAAACAGGAGAAAUGCAGCAUGUGCUUAAAAUGCAGAUGCAUCUGGAAGCUCUUUCCAUUUAUACAGGCAAUAGAAUAGCAAACCUUUUCCAUAUACAAAAAUAUACUUUGAAAAUACAUUUAGUGUUUAUCAAUAUAUAUUUACAUAACUGAGCACUAAAAUGUCACUUUGCAUGGAUUAUUUUUGUGGAUAGGGCUAAAACUGCCAAUUUAGAUUCAGGUGACCUGAUUCUUCUCCUCCCCUCCCCCCCAAUCAAAUUCAUAAAUGAGGAAUAAUUACAUUGAUAAAGUUUUAUAAUGGGGUAAAACCAGCAUCAAAUGGGAGGGUAUGGCAGGAAUCUUUGCAAAACAGGCAGUUCUUGUUUACAGCCAUCCAAACCAACAAAUACCCUGAAAUUAACAGGAACUUAUUGCUAACCACUCAAGAAUGCAUGGCAGCAUAGCUUCUUGGGUCACCCCCAUCACCACAUCUUCUGACUCAGAUCUACAGAAUCCACUUAAUAUUUUUCCAGAAAGAUGAACACUUGCCAGGUUUGUCAGUCUGCUAGACCUAUUUGCUCAGGCCAAAGAAUGUCAUGCUUAUAUAGCAUAACUAGUAUGUUAUUCUGGAAGUAGUCCUAUUGAUUUUAAAUGAACUGCUUUGCAUGUGGCAAUAUUUGGGAUUGAAUAAUAUUUAAUUCUGAAGCACGGGAAAUUAAAAAAGUACAAUACCCUUUGCUUCUAAUAAAAGAAAUGCAUAAAUAAGAUUUUGCAUCAGUUCAUCUUUUAGCUAUAACAGUGUUUUACCCCUGUAUAAAUCCUUUGGCAUAUGGUACAUGGAGACGCUCUUGAUUUACUCAUGAAAGAGAGGAGUAUUCCCAAAAGUGGUUUUCUAUUUUAUUAUCAAUUGAAACUCAGCACUGGUGACCCCUCCUGAUCACCACCUGAACC